AUCCAGCUGGCGAGUCCCAAAUAGGACGAAACGCGUGUCCUGGAU
rnacentral:hammerhead_ribozyme from 1 species